UACGUAGGGUGCGAGCGUUAAUCGGAAUUACUGGGCGUAAAGCGUGCGCAGGCGGUCUGUUAAGACCGAUGUGAAAUCCCCGGGCUUAACCUGGGAACUGCAUUGGUGACUGGCAGGCUUUGAGUGUGGCAGAGGGAGGUAGAAUUCCACGUGUAGCAGUGAAAUGCGUAGAGAUGUGGAGGAAUACCGAUGGCGAAGGCAGCCCCCCUGGGCUAACACUGACGCUCAGGCACGAAGCGUGGGGAGCAAACAGG
rnacentral:rRNA from 1 species